UUUAACAAGGACCCAUUGGAGGGCAAGUCUGGUGCCAGCAGCCGCGGUAACUCCAGCUCCAAUAGCGUAUAUUAAAGUUGUUGCGGUUAAAAAGCUCGUAGUCGGAUGUCUGUCUUCGGCCGGGCGUCGAUUGCUCUGAAUCAAGGGUAGUCGAUAUCGCUCUGCGGUUUCCGGGUCAAACCGGGGACUGCUUAACGGUCGGACAACACCGCCGGAGUGUCGCUGAUCGAACCUCGGGCGCAAGCUCGGGGACCUCGGUCUCGACCGUAAUGUUGUAGGGUGCCCUUAACCGGGUGUCCUAUAACGCCGGCACUGUUUACUUUGAACAAAACUGAUUGCUUAAAGAAGGUGACUAUCGCCUGAAAGAUGCAGCAUGGAAUGAUAAAAGAGGACCUCGGUCUUAUUUUGCUGGUCUUUUCUUUAGACCCGAGGUAAUGAUCAAUAGAAUCAGACGGGG
rnacentral:rRNA from 1 species